rnacentral:tRNA from 1 species
GCGUUCAUAGCUCAGAUGGAUAGAGCACAGGCCUCCGACGCCUGGUGUCGAGGGUUCGAAUCCCCCUGGACGCA